UGGUGUUAAGGCGUGUACCUGGGACUGCGGGUCUACUCUAAGUCCAACUCCGAUUGUGGCUUUGGAUUGUGCCCAGAGCGGGUGAAAGGCCCGUACGGGUAUACAGUGCUUUUUCGCGGUCCUCAGAUGUGCAUGCUUUCGAGUCGGAUUGCUUGACAAUGCAGGCCAAAGAGGGGGGUAAACUCCAUCCAAGGCUAAAUACUGGCACGAGUCCGAUAGUACACAAUUACCGUGAGGGAAAGUUGAAAAGUACUCUGAAGAGAGAGUAAAUAGUACGUGAAGCCGAUUACAGGGAAGCUGGUGGAGUCAAGCUUCGUGCUUGGAGAAUUUUCACUUGUAGCCUCGUUGUGCUAGAGGUCGUGCUUGGUCAGCUUGGAAAAAGUUGGACACACUCGUGUGUUUCAAGUUGCUCUGGGUUGUGCUUUUGAGCCACGUAUUGAUCCUUAGCUGCAAGUGUUCUAUUCUCCUGUGCACAGGUCACAGUCGAUGACCAUGUGCUGUGUGAUUGUCUAACCGUGCUUUAGCAGGCCUCGUGCUUGCUGGGUGCCGAAUGCCAAGUGGUGCUCUUAUGCUUUUAGUGUAUUGGCGCUUAUCACGGUUUCCACCAUUGUGAUGAUCGCUGCAGUAUCGUGUGUUGUCGAGUCUUUCAGGUGCUUCGCCUUCGGGCUACGUGCCAAUGAUAGCUGAGACUUUGAGGUACA
rnacentral:rRNA from 1 species